rnacentral:rRNA from 1 species
AUUGAACGCUGGCGGCAGGCCUAACACAUGCAAGUCGAGCGGAUGAAGGGAGCUUGCUCCUGGAUUCAGCGGCGGACGGGUGAGUAAUGCCUAGGAAUCUGCCUGGUAGUGGGGGAUAACGUCCGGAAACGGGCGCUAAUACCGCAUACGUCCUGAGGGAGAAAGUGGGGGAUCUUCGGACCUCACGCUAUCAGAUGAGCCUAGGUCGGAUUAGCUAGUUGGUGGGGUAAAGGCCUACCAAGGCGACGAUCCGUAACUGGUCUGAGAGGAUGAUCAGGCACACUGGAACUGAGACACGGUCCAGACUCCUACGGGAGGCAGCAGUGGGGAAUAUUGGACAAUGGGCGAAAGCCUGAUCCAGCCAUGCCGCGUGUGUGAAGAAGGUCUUCGGAUUGUAAGGCACUUUAAGUUGGGAGGAAGGGCAGUAAGUUAAUACCUUGCUGUUUUGACGUUACCAACAGAAUAAGCACCGGCUAACUUCGUG